rnacentral:rRNA from 1 species
AGUGAACGCUGGCGGUAGGCCUAACACAUGCAAGUCGAACGGCAACGCAGUAAGAGCUUGCCCUUACGGGUGGCGAGUGGCGGGCGGGGUAGGAAACCAUCGGAAUCUACUUUUUCGUGCUGCCUCUCGUAGGGAAAUUUCCUCGAAUAACCCUGACUACUACCGGAUGAAACAUUCGUAACUCCUCACCUGACGGUUAAAGAUACGCCGAUAUGGGAUGGGCUCGUGUCCGAGUAGAUAGCCCGCGAGGUAACGGCCCACCAAGGUGACGAUGCGAAGCUGGUCUGAAGGGAUGAACCGCCACCCUGGAACUGAGACACGGUCCAGACUCCUACGGGAGGCCGCAGUGGGGAAUAUUGGACAAUGGGCGCAAGCCUGAUCCAGCCAUACCGCGUGGGUGAAGAAGGCCUUCGGGUUGUAAAGCCCUUUUGUUGGGAAAGAAAAGCAGCAGGUUAAUACCCCGCUGUUCUGACGGUACCCAAAGAAUAAGCACCGGCUAACUUCGUG